GCAAACUGGAGAAACUAGUGCUGAGUGCUUGUUCCCUCACAGAGAACAACUGUGCUGCUUUGGCAUCAGCUGCCAGAUCAACUUCCUGCAAUUUGAAGGAGCUGAACCUGAGUCGCAAUAAUCUUCAUGAUGCAGCAGUUCAGCAUCUCUCAGACCUCAUCAAGAAUCCUCACUGCAAACUGGUGACACUAGUGGUGGAUCAUCAAACCUUCAGAAAGGAGAGUCCAGCAGCAGCAUUCUCCGCUAGCAGCAGGCCUGGCCCAGGAACCAGUUUGGAGUGUCAGACUGUACAGACACUCAAGGACAAAAGAGAUUGAGGGAGGGAACCAGAGAAGGACGACACAGAAGAAGCAAGAAGACAACCCCACACGCCGGCAUGAUACCCUUGGGGGUCAGCAGCACAUGCGCUCUUUUUGUUAAUUGUUAAUUUUACUUUUCUUAUAAUACAGGCAUUUACUAAAAACAAAUUAACUAUGUAAUACAUUUAACUAUGCAUUCCUUUAUGUAUGAUUUAAAAAUACGAUUAUAUGUUGGAAAAAUGAGAGACAGAAAGAUAAGGGACAAAGAUCAUAGGCACAUUUGACCUAAUCAAUGCGAUUAUAUGAGGGGAAAAAUGAGAGACAGCAAGAUAAGGGACAAAAAGAGAUCAUAGGCACAUUAUGCACUCCUAUACUGAAAUCCUAGCACAUAA